rnacentral:rRNA from 1 species
CGCAGCGAAAGCGAGUCUGAACAGGGCGUUCAGUAGCUGGGCGUAGACCGAACCGGAUGAUCUAUCCAUGGCCAGGUUGAAGGUGCGGUAACACGCACUGGAGGACCGAACCCACUAGUGUUGCAAAACUAGGGGAUGAGCUGUGGAUAGGGGUGAAAAGGCUAAACAAAUCCGGAGAUAGCUGGUUCUCCUCGAAAAGCUAUUUAGGUAGCGCCUCGUGUAUCACUCUCGGGGGUAGAGCACUGUAAUGGUUGGGGGGUCGUCUAGACUACCCCGCCAUAGCAAACUCCGAAUACCGAGAAGUGCGAGCACGGGAGACAGACGGUGGGUGCUAACGUCCAUCGUCAAGAGGGAAACAACCCAGACCCACAGCUAAGGUCCCAAAUGAUGUGCUAAGUGGAAAACGAAGUGGGAAGGCAUAGACAGCCAGGAAGUUGGCUUAGAAGCAGCCAUCCUUUAAAGAAAGCGUAAUAGCUCACUGGUCGAGUCGUCCUGCGCGGAAGAUGUAACGGGGCA